CAGUAGCCACGGUAAUACGAAGGGGGCUAGCGUUGCUCGGAAUGGCUGGGCGUAAAGGGCGCGUAGGCGGAUGGUACAGUCAGAUGUGAAAUUCCCGGGCUCAACCUGGGAAUGGCAGUGGAUACUGGCUCGCUAGAGUGUGUCAGAGGAUGGUGGAAUUCCCGGUGUAGCGGUGAAAUGCGUAGAGAUCGGGAGGAACAUCAGUGGCGAAGGCGGCCAUCUGGGACAACACUGACGCUGAGGCACGAAAGCGUGGGGAGCAAACAGGAUUAGAUACCCCAGUAGUCCCUGUCUCUUAUAC
rnacentral:rRNA from 1 species